rnacentral:misc_RNA from 1 species
CGCACCUUGCGCCCUUUGGCUAUUCCGAAGGGCAUGCCUGUUUGAGUAUCGUGAACACCUCAACUCUCGUGGUUCGCCACGAUGAGCUUGGACUUUGGAGGCUUUGCCGGCUCAUGGUCGGCUCCUCUCAAACGAAUUAGCUUACCGGUGUAUGGUGGCACCACAGGUGUGAUAACUAUCUGCGCUUGUGGUUGUAUGCCAGAUAACCUUCAGCAAUGGAGGUUUGCUGGGGCUUACAAACGUCUCUCCUCGGUGAAGACAACCUUCUGAACGUUUGAUCUCAAAUCAGGUAGGACUACCCGCUGAACUUAA